UACAGCCAUAUUACGUUUAAACACCGAUUCUCGUACGAUCACCGAAGUUAAGCAGCGUCGAAUCUGGUUAGUACCUAGAUGGGUAACUGCUUGGGAAUACCAAGUGCUGUAAG